AAAAUACUCCCUUCGUCUCAAAAUUCUUGUCUUAGAUUUGUCUAGAUACGGAUAUAUCUAACACUAAAACGUAAUUAGAUACAUUCGUAUUUAGACAAUCUAAGACAAUAAUUUUAGGACGAAAGGGCAUAUAAG
rfam:Triticum aestivum genome assembly, contig: Triticum_aestivum_CS42_TGACv1_scaffold_472645_6AL